GACGAACGCUGGCGGCGUGCCUAAUACAUGCAAGUAGAACGCUGAAGAGAGGAGCUUGCUCUUCUUGGAUGAGUUGCGAACGGGUGAGUAACGCGUAGGUAACCUGCCUGGUAGCGGGGGAUAACUAUUGGAAACGAUAGCUAAUACCGCAUAAAAUUGAUUAUUGCAUGAUAAUUAAUUGAAAGAUGCAAUUGCAUCACUACCAGAUGGACCUGCGUUGUAUUAGCUAGUUGGUGAGGUAACGGCUCACCAAGGCGACGAUACAUAGCCGACCUGAGAGGGUGAUCGGCCACACUGGGACUGAGACACGGCCCAGACUCCUACGGGAGGCAGCAGUAGGGAAUCUUCGGCAAUGGGGGGAACCCUGACCGAGCAACGCCGCGUGAGUGAAGAAGGUUUUCGGAUCGUAAAGCUCUGUUGUAAGAGAAGAAC
rnacentral:rRNA from 1 species